CUAUGAAAAUAUAUUGACAAAAGCUCCAAGACUGUUCAUUUUUGGUUAAGUAAUCCAAGAUCACAUUGAGUUCAUAGAAAAGCCAAUUGUAUUGAACAUCGGCUCAGGCCUGAGGGAAUCGCCACAUCAAGGAAGUUGCUCCAAAGAUCAAUAAUUUGAAGGUGAAAGCAUGAAGACAUAGUGCUUGGGAUCGUGCCAGUGUGCUGAGGUUAAGGUAACGCAGCCUGUUUAGUUGCCCAAGUUCAGGUGGUAUUUGACCAGUAAGUUGAUUGUUGGGGAUGUGGAUUCUUGUGAGAAAAGUGAGGUUGCCAAUGCAAGAAGGUACCUGACCAUCGAGAUUAAGUGACUCAAGUCCAGUGCAACGGCACAAGACUUAUGUCUCCUGCUGCAAGUAACGCCAGACCAAGUGCAGAAUUGCUGUGAAUCAUUUUUCCACGAGGCUAGGAGUCCGGCAGAGCUGGUGAGAUGGAGUUUAAGGCAGCGGAGAGCAUGGAGGUCGGUGUUAGAAACAUUUUGGAGUGCCGUGGCACCUGAUGAAGACUCGAGGAAUAUCACAAGGGAGGCGAGGACAAGGACCAGAGGACUUGAGAAAGUGAGUGUACCCACCGGAGGCAUGCUUGGACAGUUUUGGAGAGGACAACUGUGGUUCCCAGGAAACAAGAAUGCAAGGGAGGAUUCACUGGUGCGCUGUAGUGCUAGUCCUCCUCCCACGACAGUUUGUCGGACCAGCACAACAGCGAAUCCAUGGAUGACGAGCUCCGUCACAGAUGCAACAGGAUGAUAUGUUGCAGGGGAGGCAAAAUGGAGAAGGGGAGGGUUGUGAGUUGUGACGCAUGUUCGUUAAUUUGGGCUUCCUCUGGUGCAUUUAUAUAAUUAUACAAAGUAGAUAGGUUGCUCUUGCUCGGUACGAAGAGCUUGGAAGGAAAAGGGAAGAACCGGCCUUCAGCCAAUCAAGCAUUAGUUUAGAUUAUUCUUCCAAUACCACUUUGAGAUCAGUCAAUUUACCCCCAUCAAAAGAAAAAGAUAGUCAAAUGUACUAUGCAUAUUCUGCUUCCACUUCAUAAAGACAUAAACAAAGGCACCACUUCAAUUGCAGCCAAUCAAGCAUCAGCAUGUAGAUCCCUAGUGCCUUUGCUUGUUGGCAUGCAUAAUACUGCAGAAAAUGUAGGGCCUCUUUGAUUCUUAAGAUUCUUGAAACCAAUGAAUAUGGAAAAGCAUACUCCCUCAGUAACAUAAUACUGCAGAGGUAGUACAAGAUUAAAGUCGCAUGCCUUGAAUCCUACUAGAUGAAUUUGAAGAGACUGGCUUGUUCAAAGGAAGACCGAGCCUUGAACUGGGCAGUUUCCUUGUGCAUGCAUCCUUCCCACCCACUUCCACCAAUGUCAAGAUGACAACUGGUACCUACCAUGGCAUGCUUCUGAGACUUGGAACGAAUAGAUGACACAGGCCAAGAGACAUUUGGCGAAACACGCUCGCGUAUCAUCGACGAACGAUGUGGACUGGGGUACUGGACAAUAAUCAACUUAAGUUAAGUCCUAGCUUAGCCACAAGUCAUGCAGACUUUUCCGCACCAUGUGCGAGAAGAACUGAGAAAGUCUCAUCUUCGGCAGGUUCCAGUCAACACAGGCCUUUUUCUUUUCUUUUCUUUUAUCUUAACAGCCCCAGUCAAGGAAGAAAUGCAUAAUUUUGGAUCGGUAUAUAUAGGUGCUGAAGCUUGGCGGAAUGGCAAUCGUUCCCUUUCUGUGUAUAGGUUUGCGGGACUGCCGCGCACGGGAAGAUGCUGCCACCCAACUGUCGCCGCCUCCUUGCUCGGCUUCUUGCCAUCCUCAUGUUACUGCUGUUAAUCGUCGGUGGCCAUGCAGGUCGUGGUGGAAGGUUUGGUCCACCUGCACACUGCGAUACUCGUCAGAACCCAGGCGGCUGCCCUCGUUUGCCGCCUCCGAACUGUGCAGGCUGUGGAUAGCAGCGGGUCUCAUUCCCGAAGCAUAUGUCCUCGACGACGGUCUUUUAGCAUGUCUUGUACUCCCUCACUUGCCAAAUAUUUGUCUUUCUACACAUUUUAAAUGGACUACAACAUACAGAUGUUUGUAGUCAUAUUUUAAAGUAUAGAUUCAUUCAUUUUGCUUCGUAUGUAAUCAUUUGUUGAAAUCUUUAAAAUGACAAAUAUUUAGAAACGGGUGAGUAUUAUAUUUCUCGUGUUAUAAGAGAUA